UCCUACUUAACGUAGGCAGUCUCGCUAUAGUUCCCGACAUUACUCGCUGGCAAAUAACGAUAAGGGUUGCGCUCGUUGCGGGACUUAACCCAACACCUCACGGCACGAGCUGACGACAGCCAUGCAGCACCUAUAUAGAAGCCCCUUGCGGAGAGUAUAGUUUCCUAUAUUGUCCUCUACAUUUCGAGCCCAGGUAAGGUUCUUCGCGUUGCAUCGAAUUAAACCACAUGCUCCACUGCUUGUGCGGGCCCCCGUCAAUUCUUUUGAGUUUCACACUUGCGUGCGUACUCCCCAGGCGGCAUACUUAUCGCGUUAGCUUCGAAACAGAAGGGGUUGAAGCCUCCUACUUCUAGUAUGCACCGUUUACAGGGUGGACUAC
rnacentral:misc_RNA from 1 species